CGGAGUAUCAGUGCGGUUGGUCGGUCAGAGACUUGCGGGAAAGUUAAAAACUAAUGUUUCAAGUCGUUUCGUAAACUGUUGUGACCCUGCUCGCUUUUCUCUCAGAGACCUGCAGACGGGUGGAGUAGAGUUGGACUCAGUUUUUGUGACGAAGCUUACUUUUCACUUUCACCUCUAAGCUAAACUGAAUGAUUUCUUUAAGAAGCCGUGGAAAAUGUGUUUCCCUCAAUGCGGUAUAUGGAAGGAAGGAGUUGCUACUGUUGAUUUGAGCCAGUCCCUGACGCUAUGAGAGAUUCUAAGGGAAAUAAUACUGAGCGAGCCAGCGCAUGUAACCUGAAUAACUAUGUAGACUGAGUGCUCAGGAACAGAAGUUAAUAUUAGUAAUAAUGAUAGUUUGAUGAAUGGAUAUAAAAGAAUGAAAGAAACAUUUCUCACUAUACACUCUGGAUGAUACAGUAUCUUGAUGACACGUCAGUGACUACUGCCGAUCUCUCCUGAUGCUCAAAUACUUCCUGAAUUUCCAGCCUGUUGGACAUCUUUAUUUAGGUGCAACAUAAACACCUAAACUUCAAGAUUCCUAAAGUCAAUGCAAAAGUUACCCACCACAGAUAUCUUUUUCCAUGUGCGUUUUCUGUCUCUCUAAAGGAUACCAUCAUCUACUCCCUUGUCCAAGUCAUUUCUGAUUUCUCUUUAACACCUUGAUCUUAAUUCAGUGGAUGCUACCAAGUGGAAAUUCAAGGAACAUUUGUUAUAUGCUCUGGAUGAAUGAAGAGCUUUUUGCCAGUUCUUUUUGCCUGGAGUGUGAGGUCUGUUUUCUGUACCUUCAGUUUAGAACUAGAAUCCUGCUGAUGGACUAAUCAUUACAGCCAUGGUGCUAUUCUCCUGCUUGAUUCCCCCUGCCCUGCUCUGCCCCACCUCAACAUUUUGUUAGAAAAAUAUCAAACAUACAGAAAAGAAAGAAUUUUACAGUGAAUACUUACAUACUUACCAAGAUUCUAAUGUUAACAUUUUGCCACACUUGAGCAAGUGUGUAUUUGUCCAUCUAUUCAUCCACCCAUACACACAUACUUCUAUCAUUUUUUUGUUGGAUACAUUUCUAGGUGGAUUUCCUACAAUGAUUUUGAAAUCUCAGUUAUUUCUGCUUCUAUAUUUUAUCCACUGAUUUGGACUUAACGAUAUUGAUACUAAAGUCAGUUCUCCCA